ensembl:lncRNA
CCAAAAGAGGUAUGUCCAUGUUGUAACGCCCGGGACCUGUGAAUGUGCCCUCGUUCGGGAAAAGGGUCCUUGCAGGUGGAAUUAAGUGACAGAUCUCAAGAUGAGGUCAUCCUGGAUUUAGGGUGGGCCCUGAAUCCCAUGGCAAGUGUCCUUCCAGGAGACAGACAGGGGCAGAUUGGGGACACAGAAGACAAGGCCAUGUGAAGAUGGAGGGAGAGACGAUAGAGAUGCUGCCUCCAGCCCAGGAUGCUGGGAGCUGGAACGAGCAUGGGAUGGAUUCUCUCGCAGAGCCUCCGGAAGGAACCGCCUUGAUUCUGGAUCUCUGGCCUCCGGAACUGUGAGAGCAUAACUUUGUGUGGUUAAGACACCGAGUUCGUGGUCAUUUGUGUGGCCACCCUGGGAAACAGAGACUGUGACUCCAAAACUCUCCCAGUCACCUGACCGAGAAAAGAAUGAUGCUCCAACAGCUCUGGGAAAGGUGACUCGGCCUUAGGAGACGUCACCCCUCCGGCAGGAGGCAUUUAUGGAGCCAGAAAUGUCCUUUGGAUUUGCCGUACCUUCUUGGAGGUGGUCAGAAGGGGGCUCAGCCAGCCUGCCCAGCUUAAGGAGCAGCGGGAGAUUCCGAUGCAGCGGGCCUGGGGCCGGGCCCACAACUCUGCCUUUGCAACCAGCAGCAAGCUGGUGCCGUUGCUGCCGGUCCUCAGCCCACACUCGGAGCAGAGAGUCACCCAACCGCCACCUGUGAAAUGCCAUCGUGUCAUUGCCACCACCAUCCCUGGGGUGCCGUUUGAAGAACAAAUUCUCUUGUUUUGUAUCAGGGCGCUUUGUAAGCUGUGAAGUCCUGUACAAUUAUGUAUUUCUGUAAAAAGAUGACCAAGAAUAUGAUUGAGCGGCGGUAUUUGAAGCCAAAGGACUUGGUUUAGGACCAAGUUCUAGCUCCUCUCACCAGCUAAGGAUGUCUUAGGUGAACACCUCCUUUCUCGGAGCCUGUAAAGUGGGGACGAUGGUGCUACCUCACGGGCUAGCUGUGAAGAUAAAUCAAACGCGAUCAUCGAGGGAAACAGCAGCGGGAAGAGCCCGCACACGGGAGACACCCGGUCGCAUUCUUCCUCCUGACCAUUGUCCCGUUUACAGGGUGCGAACGGUCGGGGGAGGCUGCCGCUCUUCUUUCCCCUCUCAUCCUGGAGUCCAACCUGCCAGGUCGUGAUGUAAGGGCCACUUGGUCCCCAAGGUCCGCCCAGGCUGCUCCAUGUUCCAACUGUCCUGGAGGCUGGACCACCAGUUCCUCCGCCGCGUCCCUGAGGGCGCGUGUGCCUCCACCUGCAGCUGCCCGGGGGCCUGUGAGCGAGACCUCAGCCACCGCCUCCUGGAGCUGGGGGUUUGGGCAAGAGGGAGGCCAGCAGCUCAGCGUUUCGUUUCCCUUGGGAAACUACCUGCUGCCUGAAGGUGCUUGGGGUUUGGUGGGAGCGCGGUCAGUCUCCAUGGCGAUGAGGUUUGUGGGUGUAAGCCAGCGGUGAGGGCCUGGCGCCUGCUGGAUCGGGGGGGCAGGCUCAGAGCUCCCACCCGCUCCCGGGCCUACACGGAGGGGUCUUCCGCCCACAGUGGCUUUUCCUCCACCCCCACCCCCAG